rnacentral:rRNA from 1 species
GUUUGAUCAUGGCUCAGAACGAACGCUGGCGGCAGGCUUAACACAUGCAAGUCGAGCGCCCCGCAAGGGGAGCGGCAGACGGGUGAGUAACGCGUGGGAAUCUACCCAGAUCUACGGAACAACUGAGGGAAACUUCAGCUAAUACCGUAUACGCCCUACGGGGGAAAGAUUUAUCGGAUUUGGAUGAGCCCGCGUUGGAUUAGCUAGUUGGUGAGGUAACGGCUCACCAAGGCGACGAUCCAUAGCUGGUCUGAGAGGAUGAUCAGCCACACUGGGACUGAGACACGGCCCAGACUCCUACGGGAGGCAGCAGUGGGGAAUAUUGGACAAUGGGCGCAAGCCUGAUCCAGCCAUGCCGCGUGAGUGAUGAAGGCCUUAGGGUUGUAAAGCUCUUUCAGUGGGGACGAUAAUGACGGUACCCACAGAAGAAGCCCCGGCUAACUUCGUGCCAGCAGCCGCGGUAAUA